GUCUUCAUUUUUGCCACACGUAUACUAAAAUUGGCACAAUACAGAGAAGAUUAGUAUGGCUCCUGCACAAAUACACACACAUUUGUUCAGCAUUAUGUAUGUUU